rnacentral:lncRNA from 1 species
GUGUUCCCUAGCGGACCGAGACAUUAGAGGUGUGGUUGAUCGGUAGGGAUGAUGAUCUUAUUGGACAAAUCCUAGUUUUUGGGGAUAAAAAGAAGAACAAAAGAAAAAAAAGAGUAUUCAGUAAGAUGAACUGCGGAUGAACAGGAGUGCAGUACAAAUACAGGAGAAAAAAUGGUGAACUGACCUCAGGCAUGGUGAAGUUGAUGGCCAUUUUCUGGCGAGGAAGAAGAUCGAAGACUUGGGAGAUUGGUGAAGAAGGCCUUCGAUGAAGUUCUUGGAGUCCUCGGGUGGUGUCGCCACCAAAGAAGUGGUUUCUGGGCUGUAGAAUGUUAAGAUGGAGAAGGAGUACCCG